GACCUUGUGGUGUACUGGUGUGCACGCCGGGAUAUGAAACCGGAGGGUAUGGUUCGAUUCCAUACAUGGUCA